UACGAAGGGGGCUAGCGUUGCUCGGAAUCACUGGGCGUAAAGCGCACGUAGGCGGACUCUUAAGUCGGGGGUGAAAUCCUGGAGCUCAACUCCAGAACUGCCUUCGAUACUGAGAGUCUUCGAGUUCGGGAGAGGUGAGUGGAACUGCGAGUGUAGAGGUGAAAUUCGUAGAUAUUCGCAAGAACACCAGUGGCGAAGGCGGCUCACUGGCCCGAUACUGACGCUGAGGUGCGAAAGCGUGGGGAGCAAACAGGG
rnacentral:rRNA from 1 species